rnacentral:lncRNA from 1 species
AAACUUUUAGAACCUUUAGAGAGUUUCAAUACGUGUCUUCACUUGUCUUCAUCUUUUUCCAUCCUUGCAACUGUCGUCUUUUUCCAUCCCUGCAACUGUCAUCUUUUUCUUCAAUCACCUUUCCCAUCUAGUAACCCAUCACAUUUCCUCUUUCAUUUCCUAGAUUGCAUUUGUCAUCCGACGAUAUAACCUUAUGAUUUCCCUUCUAGAUUAAAUCCCUAGUUUUCCAUCCUCAAACGGGAAGAAAAUUAGUUAAAUCUGAAAGUAACUCAAAACGAAAAAGCUUCUUGAUCUGCGAGCGAGGUCAUACGGCGAUAAGGAAAAGUGGCGAGAAGCUCUCUUCCCCUCCUCUGAACCCGAAAAGGAGCAACGGAAUCACGACCAUAAAAGAAAUAAGAAAAAAUCGUAUAAGUUUCAGGAGGCAAAAAGAAGUGGAGAGAUAGGGAGUUGCGGGUGAGGAUCUAAGACGAC